rnacentral:tRNA from 1 species
GAGGGUGUAGCUCAGUGGUAGAGUGCCUGCUUAGUGGACAUGAGCUCCUGGGUUCAAUCCCCAGUGCCUCCC